AUAAAGAUAGGUUAAGGAAACCGCUGAGCUGUGGAUUCAGGAAUGUAUUUAAAUACUCUUUUUC
rnacentral:tRNA from 1 species